GCGAGGGAUGGCCUGAAGCCUGCAGGCCGAACUGUCAGUUCCUUGUGGAGUCCAGGACCCAGAGUGAGAACUUCACUGAUGCCUUUCGGCCAAUCGGAUGGUGCUUUUUCCAGGCCCACCCAUGACCGCCCAUGGACCAAUCAGCAUGCACUUCCUCUAUUCUGAGUCCAUAAAAAUCCCUGGAUUCGUACACACACUCUUCGGGAUGACCUGCCUAUGCCAUGAAGCUGAGGAUUGGUAGCCCUUUUAGAGGAACACGUGCUUCCAGACCAGCUGUGGGCAUAGGUGACUCCACCUUUAAAGUACUCAGGAAGCUUGAGUGGCAUCUAAAU
rnacentral:lncRNA from 1 species